GACGAACGCUGGCGGCGUGCUUAACACAUGCAAGUCGAACGGAAAGGCCCUGCUUUUGUGGGGUGCUCGAGUGGCGAACGGGUGAAUAACACGUGAGUAACCUGCCCUUGACUUUGGGAUAACUUCAGGAAACUGGGGCUAAUACCGGAUAGGAGCUCCUGCUGCAUGGUGGGGGUUGGAAAGUUUCGGCGGUUGGGGAUGGACUCGCGGCUUAUCAGCUUGUUGGUGGGGUAGUGGCUUACCAAGGCUUUGACGGGUAGCCGGCCUGAGAGGGUGACCGGCCACAUUGGGACUGAGAUACGGCCCAGACUCCUACGGGAGGCAGCAGUGGGGAAUAUUGCACAAUGGGCGGAAGCCUGAUGCAGCAACGCCGCGUGCGGGAUGGCGGCCUUCGGGUUGUAAACCGCUUUCGCCUGUGACGAAGCGUGAGUGACGGUAAUGGGUAAAGAAGCACCGGCUAACUACGUGCCAGCAGCCGCGGUGAUACGUAGGGUGCGAGCGUUGUCCGGAUUUAUUGGGCGUAAAGGGCUCGUAGGUGGUUGAUCGCGUCGGAAGUGUAAUCUUGGGGCUUAACCCUGAGCGUGCUUUCGAUACGGGUUGACUUGAGGAAGGUAGGGGAGAAUGGAAUUCCUGGUGGAGCGGUGGAAUGCGCAGAUAUCAGGAGGAACACCAGUGGCGAAGGCGGUUCUCUGGGCCUUUCCUGACGCUGAGGAGCGAAAGCGUGGGGAGCGAACAGGCUUAGAUACCCUGGUAGUCCACGCUGUAAACGGUGGGUACUAGGUGUGGGGUCCAUUCCACGGGUUCCGUGCCGUAGCUAACGCUUUAAGUACCCCGCCUGGGGAGUACGGCCGCAAGGCUAAAACUCAAAGGAAUUGACGGGGCCCCGCACAAGCGGCGGAGCAUGCGGAUUAAUUCGAUGCAACGCGUAGAACCUUACCUGGGUUUGACAUGGAUCGGGAGUGCUCAGAGAUGGGUGUGCCUCUUUUGGGGUCGGUUCACAGGUGGUGCAUGGCUGUCGUCAGCUCGUGUCGUGAGAUGUUGGGUUAAGUCCCGCAACGAGCGCAACCCUUGUUCACUGUUGCCAGCACGUUAUGGUGGGGACUCAGUGGAGACCGCCGGGGUCAACUCGGAGGAAGGUGGGGAUGACGUCAAGUCAUCAUGCCCCUUAUGUCCAGGGCUUCACGCAUGCUACAAUGGCUGGUACAGAGAGUGGCGAGCCUGUGAGGGUGAGCGAAUCUCGGAAAGCCGGUCUCAGUUCGGAUUGGGGUCUGCAACUCGACCUCAUGAAGUCGGAGUCGCUAGUAAUCGCAGAUCAGCAACGCUGCGGUGAAUACGUUCCCGGGGC
rnacentral:rRNA from 1 species